rnacentral:tRNA from 1 species
GUCCAUAUGGCGGAACUGGUAUACGCGCUCGGCUAAGAACCGGGUUCCUGGAGAAUGUGGGUUCGAUUCCCACUAUGGACA